rnacentral:rRNA from 1 species
GACGAACGCUGGCGGCGUGCUUAACACAUGCAAGUCGAACGGUGAAGCGCCUUCCUUUUUGGUGGGUGUGGAUGAGUGGCGAACGGGUGAGUAACACGUGAGUAACCUGCCCCCUUCUUCUGGAUAACCGCAUGAAAGUGUGGCUAAUACGGGAUAUUCUGGGUCUGUCGCUUGAUGGAUCUGGGAAAGAUAUUGUUUCGGUGGGGGAUGGGCUCGCGGCCUAUCAGCUUGUUGGUGGGGUGAUGGCCUACCAAGGCGGUGACGGGUAGCCGGCCUGAGCGUGUGUACCGUGACACUGGGGCUGGGACGCCACCCGGACUCCUAGAUGCGGCAGUAAUGGGUAAGAGUGGAAGAUGUGCGGAAGCCUGAUGCAGCGGCGCAGCGUGGGGGAUGCAGGCCUGCGGGUUGGAAACAUCUUUCGGCAGUGAAGCAGGCUUGCCGCGUUUGUGGGGGGGUUGACGGUAGCUGGAGAAGAAGCGACGGCUAACUACGUG